rnacentral:rRNA from 1 species
GAUGAACGCUGGCGGCGUGCCUAAUACAUGCAAGUCGAACGAACGCGACCGGUGCUUGCACCGGUCAUUUUAGCGGCGGACGGGUGAGUAACACGUGGAUAACCUGCCUAUCAGACGGGGAUAACAUCGGGAAACGGAAGCUAAUACCGCAUAAUACUUUGAACCGCAUGGUUCAAAGGUGAAAGAAGGCGUAGGCGUCUGUUAUUGGUGGGUCCGCGCUGCAUUAGCUAGUUGGUAAGGUAACGGCUUACCAAGGCCCGGAUGCAUAGCCGACCUGAGAGGGUGAUCGGCCACACUGGAACUGAGACACGGCCCAGACUCCUACGGGAGGCAGCAGUAGGGAAUCUUCCGCAAUGGGCGCAAGUCUGACGGAGCAACGCCGCGUGAGUGAUGAAGGUCUUCGGAUCGUAAAACUCUGUUGUUAGGGAAGAACAUAUGUUAGAGUAACUGUUAGCGUCUUGACGGUAUCUAACCAGAAAGCCACGGCUAACUACGUG